UCAGGAUGAACGCUAGCUACAGGCUAACACAUGCAAGUCAGGGGCAGCAUGAUCGAAGCUUGCUUUGAUUGAUGGCGACCGGCGCACGGGUGAGUAACGCGUAUCCAACCUUCCCUAUAGUAGAGAAUAGCCCGGCGAAAGUCGGAUUAAUGCUCUAUGUUGUAUUUAGAAGACAUCUGAAGAAUACCAAAGGUUUACCGCUAUAGGAUGGGGAUGCGUCUGAUUAGGUAGUAGGCGGGGUAACGGCCCACCUAGCCGACGAGUCAGUAGGGGUUCUGAGAGGAAGGUCCCCCACAUUGGAACUGAGACACGGUCCAAACUCCUACGGGAGGCAGCAGUGAGGAAUAUUGGUCAAUGGACGGAAGUCUGAACCAGCCAAGUAAGCGUGCAGGAUGACGGCCCUAUGGGUUGUAAACUGCUUUUAUAUAGGGAUAAAGUCGGGGACGUGUCCCCGUUUGUAGGUACUAUAUGAAUAAGGACCGGCUAAUUCCGUGCCAGCCGCUGC
rnacentral:rRNA from 1 species